AGAAGAUAAGCAUGUAGAGAAGACAGGAUGAGUGUGAGCUGUUGAAUGGCGAUUCGGUUUUUUUCUGAAGCAGUUACUAUUUGCCUGUUUAAGGGAAAGAGUCCCAGGUUUCAGCCCUCACCUGAGGACACCGGUCCCAGAGCCACAGUCAAAGCGGAACUCCACGUGGCCACCUGCCAAAUUGAUGGACAGGAAGUCUUUGCUGCCUGUGUCAUAGCUGUACAGGAGGACACCGUCUCCUGAGUCUGGCCGAAAUGUGAUCUCAAACUCCAUGAAGGAAAGUGUCGACCUUUAAACCCAAGGGGACAGAGGCAAAUGUAGGAGUCGG
rnacentral:antisense_RNA from 1 species